GUAUGUCGUGAGAAUGGCGUUAGAAUGAAGCGUCCGUACCUACCCCCUCCACUUCUCUCUCUCGAAUUCUCAAACGCCAGACGGGAUUAAAUGCGGCCACCACCUCAUCGCACCCAAAGCCCCACGUCUUGCAAUCUCCCCGCCCUCCGCCGCGCCCCUUCGGUCUCCACCGGCACCCACCUCCUCGCCAUUUUCCCCUAUCUCGCGCUCGCCCUCGAAGAUUUUGCCAAAGAUGGAAAGAAGUACCAGAAGCCACCAUUGGCAUUCAUCUCAUAGAAUCAGGUCAACACAUAUCCUUUACCUUCAUACCACCGGAAAAUUCCUAGAAAAGCAGAAAAUCCAAGGAAAGCAUCAUUGGCCUUGGAGAAAAAGGAUUGGGAAGGCGCAACCUCCUGUGUGCUUGGAGUUCCCACACCAUGCCGUCCUGCUCCUCUGCUCGUCUCAUGACAAGGGCUGCCGUCCCUACAUGUGUGGGACCAGCUACACUUCUCUAACUGCCUUGAUCAAUUCCAGAAGGCAUAUGCUAAAGAGGCAUCUCUCAUAAUGAGUCUGUGGCAGAAAACCUGAGCCAUGGUUGGCCUGCAUGGACGAAAUCUGAGGUAAUGGAGCUAACAUGCCACUAUGUCGUGGGCAGGUGAAGGAUGGACUGUGGUGGAACCGGCACGAGAACAUCUCAAUGGAAAAAAGAGAAGUUGCAUGCAGGACAAUUGCUCAUUCCUUGGGUCAUACAAAGAGCUCUGGAAGCUGUGAAGGCUGAGCAUCCAUUUGCAAAGCCUCGUGCAGUGGACCCUGCACAUGAACAGAAGUGGAGAGCAUUGGAGUACCAGAGCGAGCGAGCAGAUGUGCUCAGUACGGUAAGGUCAUCGAUGCCAAGGGCAGUGGUGUUUGGGGAUUAUGUGAUAGACAUGGAUAUAGUGACUUGAGAGUGAUGAUGAUGGGGAUGGAAUCUUUGAAGGAAAUAGGAGUAUUUUUAUUUGAUCUUUCGGGAGGCUGCUCGUCUUGGGAGGCGAAACAUUAGCAAUGGCAUAGCUGAGGUGAGGGAAGAGGGUGAUGGUUGUUCCUGUAUGGCUGCUGGAGGUGGUGCUGCUGCUGAUUUAACUGUUGUUCGCAUCGUCGGAGGCAUAUGAUAAAGUGCAGUGCGUGCAAUCAGAUCUGAUAGACAACAGAGGCGGCUGCAGCUGCAGCAGCGACGUCGUAGGAGACGGGGGAGAAGUGUGAACUGAUGUGAAUUGGGAUGGCACUGAGGUUUCAUCAUUGGCUAGUUAAAUGGGAGGAAGUUCACAUUUAUGAUGUUUGGGUUACCAGAUAUAUUCGAAUUAUUUUUUUAAAAAAAAUUAAUGUUCAUUUACUAAAGGUGUUAUCAGUUUAGUAUUUUGUCAAUUAUUUACCUGGUUGGUAGUGGCAGCCAGAAAGCAUUGAUAAGCCCUGAUAAUUGUGGUUGCUUGUCAUGCUGCGUAUUCCAGUAAGAAUCCAUGGCUGAAUC